GACGAACGCUGGCGGCGUGCUUAACACAUGCAAGUCGAGCGAAUCGGCGAACGGGUGAGUAACGCGUGAGUAACUGCCCCCCUCUCUUGGAUAACAGUUGGAAACGGCUUCUAAUACCGGAUAGUGGGGGAUGACUCGCGUCCUAUCAGAUUGUUGUUGGGGUAGUGGCCUACCAAGUCGACGACGGGUAGCCGGCCUGAGAGUGCGCCCGGCCACAUUGGGCUGAGAUACGGGCCAAACUCCUACGGGAGGCAGCAGUGGGGAAUAGUGCGCAAUGGGGGAAACCCUGAUGCAGCAACGCCGCGUGCGGGAUGACGGCCUUCGGGUUGUAAGCCGCUUUCAGCCAUGACGCGGUAGUGGCAGAAGAAGCACCGGCUAACUACGUGCCAGCAGCCGCGGUAAUAC
rnacentral:rRNA from 1 species